UACGUAGGGACCAAGCGUUGUUCGGAUUUACUGGGCGUAAAGGGCGCGUAGGCGGCAAUUCAAGCCAUCUGUGAAAUCUCCGGGCUUAACCCGGAACGGUCAGGUGAUACUGUUUUGCUAGAGUGCGGAAGGGGCAAUCGGAAUUCUCGGUGUAGCGGUGAAAUGCGUAGAUAUCGAGAGGAACACCAGAGGUGAAGACGGGUUGCUGGGCCGACACUGACGCUGACAGCGCGAAAGCCAGGGGAGCAAACGGG
rnacentral:rRNA from 1 species